rnacentral:sRNA from 1 species
UAGGGUUCCAAUAGUGCCGUUAAUCGUGA